rnacentral:rRNA from 1 species
UACGUAGGUGGCAAGCGUUGUCCGGAUUUACUGGGCGUAAAGGGCGUGCAGGCGGUUUGUUAAGUGCAGGGUGAAAGCUCCCGGCUCAACUGGGAGAGGUCCUUGCAUACUGGCAAACUCGAGGGAGGCAGAGGAAAGUGGAAUUCCCGGUGUAGUGGUGAUAUGCGUAGAUAUCGGGAGGAACACCUGUGGCGAAGGCGGCUUCUGGGCCUUACCUGACGCUG